GGCAAGAUGACUGAAAAAGUAAAGGAUUGUAAACCCUUAUAUGUAGGAGAAAGUCCUACUCUUCGCCA
rnacentral:tRNA from 1 species